CACGUAGGGGGCGAGCGUUGUCCGGAAUCAUUGGGCGUAAAGAGCUCGUAGGCGGCUCGGUAAGUCGGGUGUGAAACCCCCAGGCUCAACCUGGGGACGCCACCCGAUACUGCUGUGGCUAGAGUCCAGUAGGGGAGUGUGGAAUUCCCGGUGUAGCGGUGAAAUGCGCAGAUAUCUGGAGGAACACCAGUGGCGAAGGCGGCAUCCUGGACCGAGAUUGACGCUGAGGCGCGAAAGCUAGGGGAGCAAACGGG
rnacentral:rRNA from 1 species